AUUUACAAUGUCACCUGGCACUUUUGUAGCCGGUGUUGCAAGACAUGACCUUGAGAAGUCCACCCCCCUGCCCCCCCAACAGCAGCAGAGCAUCUGUGCCAGAUAAGAAAACGCCCAAGACGAAGCAAGGAAGAUAUGUUCUGGGAGGUGCUGCUGCAGUCAGAGGCAGAAAAGACUGAAUACAAGAAAUGGAGGGAAAGCAACACACAGGAAAGAAAAUCAAAUGAUGCAUACAAUAGGGAUGCCACGGAGAGGCUGAUACAAAUUUUGGAGCAUCAAACUGACAUGGUCCAAACUGAGCAGAUGCGUGCACGCCCUCCCCUUCAGCACAUUCAGAACUCUUUCUCAUGUGCUCCACAAACUCCCCCUGCGCAUUCCUUUCUGCUUUCUGGCAUUUCGCGCUUUCCUCUACACUACACUCCUGCACACAGCUUUUCAAAUGAAAGCUGGACUUAUGCUCAGCUCUGAAAGUCAGUCCCCCCCAGUAUCUUCUCCCCCACCAAAAAUCUGUGUGGGCGUGUGGUGGUGUGUUGUGGCUUAUUUGGCAAUAAAAGCAACGUUUUUUGAAUUUUAA